ACUCCUAAAAUUAAGAUUGACUAAAAAUGCAACGAGUAAUGUAACAUUUAAAAGCUUCUUAAAAACGCAUCAAAAAUUGUGGUUACUUAUUCAAACUUGAUAAAAAAUCGCAACGGACCUAGAAAACAGACGGGUGUGAAAUUAUAGGACCAAAGGCAGAAGACUGUUUGAUAAAAAAUGAGUGUCGUACUUUCUAGUUACCUAUACCCGGGAUAUUAAAGGAGUAAUGAUGUGUAAAUCAAAGCACUCAAUGGCCGUAAUAACACCGAUAGAUAGC